rnacentral:tRNA from 1 species
GCCCGAGUGGCCUAGUUGGUGGGGCGCCAGACUCAUAAUCUGGAGGUCGCGGGUUCGAGACCCGUCUCGGGCA